UAGGAGGCCUCUUGGGGGAGAUCUGAAGGUAAGAGUGUAGCAAAAGGGAAAGAGCGUAAAGAAAGGUGAUGCAGGAGUGAUCUCAGGUGUGAGUUGGGCCUGUGGGGUGUCUAUGUUCCCUGAGGUAAGGCAGGGGAGAUGGGAAGGAGGAAAGGCAGGUAGAGGGUAAGUUAUCAUCAACAGCAAGGACCGCUAUCAUCAGGCCAUCAUGAAGACAAUGGACUCAGGAACAACACAAAUGUCAGCACUUCUGGACCACCUUCCUUUAACUUGAACUUGCUGCCUUGGGGCUAUGUUACCUUGACUUUCUCUGCGGCAUCAUUAACAGGACCCAUCAUCAUCUUGCUUGAUGGGGAACUGAUGAAACCCAGGGAAGAGAGAACAACAGAAAAGUAGCAGGCUUAUCUAACCCAGAUCUGGAGGAGAAAAGACAGGCAGUAUUGUGACCAAGGGUAAGCACAGGCUCAGGACAGUGUGGGAUGGCUGCCCACACAGAGCCAGACCUGCCAGAGAGUCUGCAGAAAUAAGGGGAUCA
rnacentral:lncRNA from 1 species